UAUAUACAGUAAAACCCCGAUUAUCCGAAAUGGAAGGGGGAAAGCCUCUUUCGGAUAAGCCGGAUUUAUGGCCGCCAUUUUGAUCGCCGCCAUUUUGAUUUUGAAACCAAACAAACACACGCUACGCUAAACAAAGUAGUAUGCUUAAAAUAUGUGAUGUAAAUGUUUUAUUGUAUGUUUGUCUGUGUGUCUCCUUGUCUGGACCAGUGUAUGUUGAUACUUGAGCGUUGCAGAUCUGAAUUGUGAAUGUUGCAGAGUGCGAUUGUGAAUGGUUGUGCAAGCUUGCAAGUGUGACCUUGAUGCAUCGUGCAGGUGGAGACACAGUAUGAUGACUCAUAUUAUCGCGCAACUCGUAUGUUGGAAGGGGAAUGUGGCAUGGAGUGGAGAGGGGAGUCGUGUUUGUGUCGUUGUCUUGAGAGUACGGUGUGAGAGUAGUCGUGCAGUAGUUUGUUCGUUCGCCGCACCUACGUCCUUGCUGGGGCGAAGGAGGUGGAAGGACGGGGUGAGGAAGGAGGAGGGAGAGCGGGAUGAGGAUUCAGCAGACGACGACGAUGAUGACCAGUGACGCAUCGACAAAGUGAUGCAUGGGUAGUCAAAGGAAGAGGAAGGAGGCAAGUGAGGCAGAGGUGAAAGGAGCAGCUGGUGACGGGAGCGCGGGGUGAGGAAGGACGGCGGCCGACACAGGUGAAAAACAAAUUCAAAUAAAAUGAGAACGUGUGUUUUUGUUGUUUCCGUGUCCUACUAAUGUUUCAUUGAUGACGUCAUCGAUGAAACUUGUGUUAAAUCAAACAUAUCACGUUAGUUAAACGUAUCUCCUUAAAUAUCAACUCGUGUUAAAUCAAAAAUGCGUUAUUUAAACUCUUGUUAAUCGAGAGGCGACUGUAUCUGCCUUCCUGAUGGGGUUUUAUUGAUUAAUUAAAAAUUCAUGAUGAUCGACUGUCAAACUGGAUCAUUGUAAACAUGUGUUCAGUCAAUAUAGUUAACUGAUUUGGGCCUGCAUGCCUCCAAUUCCUAUCAAAAUUCCUCUACAGCACAAUCAAAAGCUGCGUAUCAAGUCAGUUACAAUUAAUUUAGAGUAAAAGGUAUAGUUUUGCAUUAACAAUGAAGUUCAUUUACAGUACAGAGACAAGACUAAAGUCAGGGAUGAAAAUCAAGGAAUGGUAAUUAUAGCCAUGUGAGUUGAGUGCAUCUUUUGACAAUGUUGCCAGACUUUCUUUGGCCAUACAUGGAAAGACAUGGUGAAGAAGAAUCUACAGUAGUAUAUCUCACAGAAUGAGUAAAAAAGAAGUUAAUACAGGUGGAUGGAGGAAAAUUCAUUUAAUGAACUGUUUCUCAGGAACCUAACCCAGCAAACCUGAUUAAAUACUAGAAAAGAAAGAUUGAUUUCAAGAUUAUA